GCCAUAAAAGGCCUAUCGCAACGCGACCUUUGUAAAUGUUGCUAAAAAAUGUUACCUUAGCUACACUACUUUCACCCUUCCGCAACAUAAUAUUUUUCAUGUUAGCUUAGCCAAAAAGGGGAUGUUGCCUUUGUUAGAAAGUGUUUAAGGGUGCAACAUGGAGACAAAUAUGUUAGCUUAAGCUAUUAAAAUGUGAAAAUAAUAUUUUAACUUAAAAUUAAAGAAAAAAGUAAUUACUUGUAUUAAAAAUAAAAAUAGAAGUUAUGUAAUAAUAUAAACUAAAAAUAUAAAAAAUUAUAUAAAAUAUUAAAUAAUUUAAUAGGUGAAUGAUUUUAUUUUAAAUAAUAAAUAUAUGUUUAUUUAUUUAAAAAGUAAAAUAAAAUGUAAACAAAAAAAUAAAAUAUAAACUAAAUAUAUGUAUAUAUGUUUAUUUGAACAAGCGGGCGUGGUUCCCGGUGAAAUCAGACAAGCAGCGGGACUUUGUUUCACUAACACCCCGCCCCAUUUUUUCACUUCCUUUUCCACUCACACUCAGUCAUCUCUCAUUUUCCACACAGUCCUCUCUCGCUCUUCACCCCCACAUCUCGUCUCUCUCUCUCUCUUUUCACCCCCACAGUCGCCUCUCUCUCUUUUCACCGUGUCUCUCUCGUCGCUCUGGUCUCUCUGGUCUCUCAUCAGCACAUCUCUCUCAUCUCAGGUUUGGAUUUCAAGUUAGGGCAUGGUUUGAGGGCUCGAUGCUUUGAUACUCCUAACUAGGGGUUUCUCUCUUUAAAUCAGGGCUUCAUUUCUUUAUUUUCUUCCAUUUACAGGUCUUUCUUCUUUUAAACUACAUCUAAUCGUACUUUAUCUUUGAUUUCAGGUAUUUUCAGCGGAGGCUUUGCAUUUGGAAUUAGGGCUUCUUCGGUUGAUUUUAAGGAUUUCAUUUAAAGGAUUUAAAAUUAGGGUUUCAGUUUAAAGAUUUUGCUACAGG